rnacentral:lncRNA from 1 species
AUGGAGAAAGAAACCAAACAAAUCGGAGGAAAAUGUUAUCAAGAGGUGAAUGAGAGCUUCCAGUUAAUGAAAUGUGGCGAGCGGCCGCACAGACAGCUGUCAGACCCCUCAUUUCUCCGCCGGGAUAUUGGAUCCGCGCUGGGAAACCGACAGGUGAGCAGAGGAGGGGUUUGCGGGGGGCCGAAGGAGGGGCGCCAGCUGGCGAGAGCCGGGAGCCCAGGAGGCAGCGCCAAGCUCGAAGCCUCGAGGGCAAGGCUAAGCGGGUCGGCCCUAGGAUGCUCUUUCUGUUGGUGGCACCUAGCUCUUUCCUCUUCUCCAACAAGCAGGAGACGUAACGAGCCCCAUAUCCAGCGCGCCCAGAACCGGGUCGACCCGGGACGCCUGGUCCCGCGCCCUAGGCGGGCCCGGCUCCCGUGUGCGCCGCGCGCAGCGCCUCUGAGCCGGCAGCCGCGGCCCGGUGCUUCCUCCCACCUCCUUCCAUCCUUUCCUUCUUGCUCCCCCUCCUUUCCGCGCUCCCUCCCCGGCGGCCGCGGCCUUUAUUAGGGAUUCCGCGGCUGUCGGUCCCGCCAUCCAUCCUGUCCGCCGGCAAUUAGGCGGCCAGACAAAGAGCAGCUUCGGAUGGAUGAGGGUCCCGGCGGAUCGGAAAUGUGAAGGGUCAGCGCUGCCGCCCGCGGCGCACCCCGCUCCCCCCUCCGCAUAAUCACCGGCCGCCCGUCACUCAGCCGGCCGCCCGGGGAGCUCCGGGGCCCGGGCUGGGGAGAGGGCGGGGGUGGGACUGCAGCCUAGGCGCCUAGGGCUAGGAGAGAGCGGACCAGCAACAGGAACGCCUCCUGCGGGAAAACGGAGGACUGCGGGAGGCCGGAGGCACCUGCAGGAGAGAGAGAGAGAGAGAGAGAGAGAGAGAGAGAGAGAGAGAGAGAGAGAGAGAGAGAAGAGAGAGAGAGAAGAGAGAGAGAGAGCGAGCGAGCAGGAUAUGGCCCCCGGCGUGACCUGAAGGCGGACUGGAGGACCGCUGCCUUGGGGGCUUCCAGUGCGGAAGCGGGGAUCUAGCUGCAGAAGAGGGUGGUGGCCCAGGCGCCCCCUGCUGGGAGACUGGGGGACGAAGUCCUUCCUAACGGCCUCUGGUCUAUACAGGUGGAACUGCGCCCAAGAGGAGCUUUCCUAGGGAAACUGAGGGUCUGUAACCUGGUGCGCCUCCUAUUGGAAUAGAGUGAUACUGUGCUUCUAUUCCCCGAUCUCUCACGCAAAAUCCAACCCAUCCA